rnacentral:rRNA from 1 species
GACGAACGCUGGCGGCGUGCCUAAUACAUGCAAGUAGAACGCACAGUUUAUACCGUAGCUUGCUACACCAUAAACUGUGAGUUGCGAACGGGUGAGUAACGCGUAGGUAACCUGCCUGGUAGCGGGGGAUAACUAUUGGAAACGAUAGCUAAUACCGCAUAAUAUUAAUUAUUGCAUGAUAAUUGAUUGAAAGAUGCAAUUGCAUCACUACCAGAUGGACCUGCGUUGUAUUAGCUAGUAGGUGAGGUAACGGCUCACCUAGGCGACGAUACAUAGCCGACCUGAGAGGGUGGUCGGCCAAACUGGGACUGAGACACGGCCCAGACUCCUACGGGAGGCAGCAGUAGGGAAUCUUCGGCAAUGGACGAAAGUCUGACCGAGCAACGCCGCGGGAGUGAAGAAGGGUUUCGGAUCGUAAAGCUCUGUUGUAAGAGAAGAACGGGUGUGAGAGUGGAAAGUUCACACUGUGACGGUAUCUUACCAGAAAGGGACGGCUAACUACGUG